ensembl:lncRNA
CUUCGCUGUACAUUGGCGUGCCAGCCAAUUGACCAUUGCUGUCGUUGAACGGUGUACCUUACAAACUAGACCGGUCAACUAAAAAGACCUCUGUCUCUUCAGGACCAUUCUAGCCCAAGGCCCCAGAGGCCAGUCUCAGGUGCCAGACUUCACAGGGCCAGCUCAGCCACCAGAGGGUCAGAGGAGACCCAGGGGGACAGAGGAGAAUGGGGGGCCCUGGUCAACAUGGAACUUCUUGGGUUGCCUAACAUUGGCAACACUUGCUUCCUAAACGCCACCCUGCAGUGCCUCCUGGUCCUGCCUUCCUUCUCAAAGGAAAUCCUAUGCCAGGAACAACUCUGGAACUCCUCCCCCUUCUCCAACCUGCUCAGGU